GAUGAACGCUGGCGGCGUGCCUAAUACAUGCAAGUCGAGCGAACAGAUAAGGAGCUUGCUCCUUUGACGUUAGCGGCGGACGGGUGAGUUACACGUGGAUAACCUACCUAUAAGACUGGGAUAACUUCGGGAAACCGGAGCUAAUACCGGAUAACAUAUUGAACCGCAUGGUUCAAUAGUGAAAGGCGGCUUUGCUGUCACUUAUAGAUGGAUCCGCGCCGUAUUAGCUAGUUGGUAAGGUAACGGCUUACCAAGGCAACGAUACGUAGCCGACCUGAGAGGGUGAUCGGCCACACUGGAACUGAGACACGGUCCAGACUCCUACGGGAGGCAGCAGUAGGGAAUCUUCCGCAAAGGGCGAAAGCCUGACGGAGCAACGCCGCGUGAGUGAUUAAGGUCUUCGGAUCGUAAAACUCUGUUAUCAGGGAAGAACAAAUGUGUAAGUAACUGUGCACAUCUUGACGGUACCUGAUCAGAAAGCCACGGCUAACUACGUG
rnacentral:rRNA from 1 species